rnacentral:rRNA from 1 species
UACGUAGGGGGUAAGCGUUGUCCGGAUUUAUUGGGCGUAAAGAGCGUGUAGGCGGCCAGGUAGGUCAGCUGUGAAAACUCGAGGCUCAACCUCGAGACGCCGGUUGAAACCAUCUGGCUAGAGUCCGGAAGAGGAGAGUGGAAUUCCUGGUGUAGCGGUGAAAUGCGCAGAUAUCAGGAGGAACACCGGUGGCGAAGGCGGGUCUCUGGGCCGAUACUGACGCUGAGGAGCGAAAGCGUGGGGAGCGAACAGG